rnacentral:misc_RNA from 1 species
AAAGAUAUAGCAUAUUCUUCUGAAUAUACUUUAUUAACCCAUUCCGAGUACCUUACCUGUUGCUUCCGCGAGGCUGUCCUCACGGCCCUCUGAAGAUUUAUCUUUGGGGAGUCCUUGCGGAAGGUAUACAAUAAACUCUUGCAUUACCAUGUCAUCUGUCUGGAUCUGUUUAAAACAAAUAUUA